AGGCUCGUCCACAUCUGGUGCUAGUAUUGCACUGCCGUCCAGGGCCUCGAGAGAACAUCAUGAGCGCGUACUACGAGCUAUCUUACCGCUGCAAGGAGAUACUUUCUCCUGAGCAGCGGAUCCAUCUGCAUUGUUUCAACGGAUCCCUAGAGGAAGUCAGUUUGUGGUUGGGGUAUUUCCCCAACACAUACUUUGGUUACAGUCUGAUGGUGGCCCGUAGAGAUUUUUUGGAAAACAGCAAGAUGGCGUUGAGGCGGAUUGAUGGAGGAAGACUGUUGCUAGAGUCGGAUGCUCCAUACUUCCCGGCAGCCGGUGAGGAGCUGUCAUCACCCUCUUUUAUCGGAGUAAGGGCGCAAGAGGUUGCCAAUAUCCAAGGUUGCAACUGGAGGGAUAUGUUGCAGCAGACGGCCGAAAAUGCCCAACAGCUCUACUGGGGCUAGUCGGGGAAGAUGGAGAAAGGUCACUGGAGGAAUAACACGUAUUUCAUGUAUAGGUGGAGGAGGAGUUGAAAUGAUGGACAUGAUACCGCUCGCACGUAUUUCGUGACAUUGGAUGUAGGUUAAGUACAUUAAGGAUGGAUGAUUAUACACAUGUACUUCAUGUGGAUGAAAUUAUCCCGGAGGAGGUCCAUUAGAUGUUGUAUCUAUGUUUGUUUAAUUGUUUAUUUUCACUUAUUUUUGAAAAUGUGUUACCGCCUUGCAAGAGAAAGUCGGGGGAAGUGUAGCAUUUGCUACUCUGUGGGAACCAGGCAGUUCGUGACGGGAAUCAGACUGGAUGAUUAUCUUGAGGGUUAUUUUUUCCACUUGCGGCUACGGCGCGUUUUCCCGGGGUUUCUCGUAAAAAGAGGGUAUUCUUCUUGCGUUAGCGAGUUUUAACCAUCACGAGUCAGUAAGACAAGGAAGAGGCGGACAGACAGGUGUAAAAGCCCAAACCACAUUUGGGCUUUAAAAGUCUUGAGCCAACCUACAGGGAAUAUUGUAAUCCUUCAGUAUUACAUCAUGAACAUUUUCUUAUGAACACUAUUAUGAAAUUGAAUAAAUUAUUGAAAAAACA